rnacentral:rRNA from 1 species
UGGUGGAGUGAUUUGUCUGGUUGAUUCCGUUAACGAACGAGACCUCAGCCUACUAAAUAGUUAUGCGAAUCUCUCGAUCAAGGUUAGCGGACGGGUGAGGUGGGGUCUUCGGACAUCCGCUUCAUGUCUGAAAGCGCCUAGACAGAUUCGUAGGCAACUUCUUAGAGGGACUAAUGGUGUUUAGCCAUUGGAAGUUUGAGGCAAUAACA